ACUGCUCAGUAACACGUGGACAAUCUAACCUAUGGAAGGGGAUAACCCCGGGAAACUGGGGAUAAUACCCUAUAGACUAUGGAUGCUGGAAUGCUCUGUAGUUGAAAGGUCCGCCGCCAUAGGAUGGGUCUGCGGCCGAUUUGGUUGUUGUUGGGGUAACGGCCCAACAAGCCUGUAAUCGGUACGGGUUGUGGGAGCAAGAGCCCGGAGAUGGAUUCUGAGACCCGAAUCCAGGCCCUACGGGGCGCAGCAGGCGCGAAAACUUUGCAAUGCGGGAAACCGUGACAGGGGAACUCCGAGUGCCCGUUAAAUCGGGCUGUCCACCAGUUUAAAUAACUGGUGAAGAAAGGGCCGGGCAAGACCGGUGCCAGCCGCCGCGGUAAUACCGGCGGCUCGAGUGGUGGCCACUAUUACUGGGCUUAAAGCGUUCGUAGCUGGUUUGUUAAGUCUCUGGGGAAAUCUUCCGGCUUAACCGGAAGGCGUCUCAGGGAUACUGGCAGACUAGGGACCGGGAGAGGUGAGGGGCACUCCAGGGGUAGGAGUGAAAUCCUGUAAUCCUUGGGGGACCACCUGUGGCGAAGGCGCCUCACCAGAACGGCUCCGACAGUGAGGGACGAAAACUGGGGGAGCAAACCGGAUUAGAUACCCGGGUAGUCCCAGCUGUAAACGAUGCGCGUUAGGUGUAUCGGUGACCACGAGUCACCGAGGUGCCGAAGAGAAAUCGUGAAACGUGCCGCCUGGGAAGUACGGUCGCAAGGCUGAAACUUAAAGGAAUUGGCGGGGGAGCAC
rnacentral:rRNA from 1 species